UCUAGCUGUGUGCCUCCCUCCACAUCCCCUUCGUGAACACACAUUCAGAUGCCCAUUAAAGUGGAGCUGACAGACACUAGCCAGGGUCUCAGUGUGUGGUCCAGGCUGGCCUUAAAUGCACAGCCUUCCUGCUUCUGUCUCCUGAGUUCAGGGAUUACAGAUGUGCUCCACGAUGGUGUGCUCUGUGCCUCUUGAAUUCCUGAGGCUACACAGCUGACUGGUAGUUAGGGAAUUCCAAGCCGGAAAGGGAAGAAGAGAAGCACACAGGAAGGAGAGGGUGGAGAAGGAGGGAGUGGGGAGAGCUAGAGACAGACAAGCAGAAGAAUGUGAAAGUUAAGAGCUGAGUGCUUCUGCUGCGAGCUGUUGCUACGUGGGAGCGCCCUUCAGACUGGCUGGUUGAAACGCCCAUCAGUUUUGCCUCGCGUUAGGCAGUGACCCUGGCAAGUCAUUUCGUCUUGUGAGUUUCCACUUACUCUCCUGUAAGACUGAGAAUGGUUUCCUGAAGAACUUUUUGUCAAGGAUUGAAUGAGAGGACAUAGAAAAUGAUCUCCUUCCUACAGCUCUUCUGACUGAAGCACUGAAACCAGGAGCCAGAAAGCAACUGGGACGUUAAAAGGAGGAUUUGGGAAAGUGGCUGCUGGGAAGGGAUUCACAGACGGCAGCUUUGUUAAUCAGGCCCUAAGUACAUGCCUACCAAGAUCUUUGAGAUGACCUUCCAGGUUGACCACUAGGUGGCACGCACACAGGACUGUUCUGUACAACCUCCAAAGACAGAAAGCGGAAGUGGCUGGUACCGAGUGCUUAGAAUCCCAGCGCUUGGGAGACUGAGAUGAUGGCAAACCGUGAAGCUAAACACAAGGGAGGAAGCCAGCCUCCUCCUUCAAGCGGUGGCACACCACAAAGGGCCGCUGUCCGUCCAAACGUGACCCCACCAGGUUCAUGGUAGCUGCUCAGCCCCUCUGACACUCUAAGUCCUUCAGCGAGCAAGAAGCUGAACCCACUACAACAAUCUCCUAAUUAGCUCACAGCGUGUUGUAUCAGUCUCCAGGCAACUUGAUGGACCUGUUGUGGAUGCAACUUGAAAAUGAAAACAUUGUUCCCACCAAGGCUCUUCUACCAAUACCAGACAGCUUUGCCUUCCAGAGCCUUCUGGAAGCAGCCAACUAUUCCCAAGACCUAGAAGGUUCUGCCACAGAUGGCCACUUAAUAGAAAUUUCUAUGAAAUACUGGCAAAGUAUUUUGUAAGGUAUAAUGGGAGAAAGGGGGUCAAUAUUCAUAGGAAAAGGAAUAGAAAAGCUAACUAGCAAAAACUUUUAUCCUUUUUUUCUUUUUUAAAUACUUUUGGAAAAGUUAAUAUUGUGGAUGACAUCCUUUGGGCACACACCCCCCCAGCACCCUUCAUACCUUCUACCCCUCCCUUCCUCCCUCCCUCGCUCCUCCUUUUUAUGGAAGAACAUGUUGAUAUAAGACAACCCAUUUGUGUACCAACGAUGGCAGCCCGGGCUGGAAUUCCAGCUCUGCUGCUUAGGGGAAAGAUCUCAGAGUUACUGAAUCUUGGGACUCUUUCUGUUGGGUUUGUUUUGCUCUGCUUUAUUUAGAGACAAUGUCUUCUUGAUAUAUGGACUGGAACUUAAAUGUAGCCCAGGCUGGCUCAAGCUCAUGAUUCUCCUGCCUCAGCCUCCUGAGCACUAGAAUUGCAGCCAUGAGCCACAAUGUGCAGCCUGCUCUUUGUUGUUUUGUUUUGGUCCCGCUAAGGAUUGAGUCCUUACCAAUGGUGAUGUAGCUGGAGAGAGACACACUGGCAGAUGGGUAAAGAAAACCUGCAGAAGUUCAUCUGCUGGGGCGUCUUUGAGUCAGAGACAGGAUAGUAGUGGUGUCCCAGCUUUUCCGCUUCUAUAAAGAACACCUUCAGGAGUAUUUGCUUGCUUGUUUGUUUAUUGAGAUAAAACCUUGCUAGGUAGCACAAGCUGGCCUAGAAUGUUCAGCAACUCUCAUUCAUCAGCCUCCUAAGUGCUGGGAUUACAAGCUUGAGACACCAGCCCUGCCCCCAACCCAACUUGUAGCCACUGACCUCUGGCUUCUGUAGGAGCGUGUUGCAUCAUCCGAUGGCUCACUGACUAAGCUGGAAUUGAAAAUUAGUUGGGCGUCAUUUUCUUUAGUUUCACAAAGUUAGCAUGAGGAUCGGACUUCCUUGUCAAAUGUGAGGUCUUUCUCUGCAAGGUUAGUGAGUACCUUUCCAGAUACUCAGGCUUCCCUCCCCCGGGUUUCCUUUCUCUCCUUUGUGGUCUGGUCUGUACUGAAGAUUCCAGAACACAGACCUCACUGCUCCUUGCUCUACUACUCAACGUUUAGUUACAAUGUGAUCAGCCUACAGCUGCCUGAGCCUGAUGGGGCUUAGAAAGUCCCCGGUAACUUGAUUUGAGAUGCAGCAGUUUUUUCUGGUUGGCAGGUCUGAAUCCAUGAAGUGUUAGAAAUUUAGACUGAGUGAACAAGCUAUAAAACAGCAAAGUGUUACACAUUCAUUUCAUGGUUUCUGGACCUUUCCUCAGUUAAGAUGAAAAGAGAGAAGGGCCAAUAUUCAAACCCUAGUAACCUGGCCUCUAAUCUUCUUUCUGUAAUCAAGUAUAUAAUCUUUGUGCUUUGUGUCUGAGUUGAGUUUUAGAAUUUUCCAGAAUGAGUCUGAAUUCGGUUCUACAGAUAAACUGCUUCCAGUAGCAAUUCUUUCUACAUUAUAAUAGAACCAUGGUUUCUCUGUGGGAGUAAAUUAGUCUUCCGGGACCCCCAGCACAGACCAGAAAGGCCUCCUCCCAAGCCCCACCCCCACACUGACCCCCAGUUUAAUAACAUGGCCAAGGGGUGGGGCAGAGGCCAAGUCUCAGGGUUUCCUGGAGGCCCAAGGCCUUGCUGAGGCUGCCCACAAGCAUCUCUCUUCCUGCCACCAAGGCUGCCAUGGUUUCACAGAUCCACAGCUGACUCUGCUGCACACACUAAUUUGUUUUUCCCGAAUUCAGCUUGUCAAAAUAUUCUAGGGUCAGGAUCCUCGCUAUUUCCAAGCUAACCUCUCCCCUUUGUAUUUUCCAGGGAUCAUUUUGAGAAAGUAACUCAUUUGGCUAGUUUCAAACCAGCUGACUCAAUGGAAUUACAGCUGUGUGCAUGUGCAUGUGAGUUCGAGUGUAAGAGUGUGUGUGUGUGUGUGUGUGUGUGUGUGUGUGUGUGUGUUCUCACAUGUGCUAUGGCAUGCAUGUGGAAGUCAGAGGAGACUGUUCUCUGUCUCUACCAUGUAGCACUCACGGAUCCACUCAGGUCCUCUUGUUUGGUGGCAAGUGUCCUUACCUGCUGAGCUCUCCCUCUGGCCCCAUGAGGAUUCUAGAGUCUGGCUUUUUUCAUCUAUCAUAAAGCAUUUGAGAUUCAUUCAUAUUCCUGCUGGUGUCAGAAGUUCAUCCCUUCUAUUGCUAGGUGAGUUCCUCAGAAUAAAUAUAGCAUAGUUUGGAUAACCAUUGACCAGAUUUGGGAACAUCUGAGUUAUUUCCAGCUUAGGCUAAUCAUAAAUCGAGCUAUCAUAAACAUUCUUAUACAAUUUUUAUUUCACUUGGGUGACCAUUUAGAUGGGUAGCGGCUGAUUGCCUGUUAAACAAAAGCAUCGCUUUAUAGAAACGGUGUGACUGACUUUGGAGGUCCCCUCCCUGAGCCGUGGAUGAAAGCUCCCUCAUCCUCACCAGAAACUGCCACUGUCUGGUUGUUUGGGUUGCUGACCGUGUGUCCCUUCUGUGAGUUGUGUGUCCCUUCUGUGAGUUGUGUGUCAUUCAGAGCACACACAGUCAGAAGUUUCCUUGCAGACUUUUCCCUUCACAGAAAUCUCCAGAAAGCAGGAUAAAGAGUCUAGAAGGUGAUAUUAAUGUUGUCGUUAGAACCACAAGGUCUGUUAGAUAAACUGUUGCUUCCUGGUGUAGGCCCCUGUGAGAUGAUGCCCUCAGCACCUGCCUUUCUGCUGCCUAUUUAUUGCCAGCAUCCCUGGUUCACUGUCAAGGUCACUUACCAGAAGCAGGGACUACUGACUGCAGUGACUAGGAAAUUUUAUUGUAAAGAUUACUGCAAAAGGAAAAAAAAAAGUCACACACUGAAAUUAACCAGACUCAAAGACUAUACACGUUAAAGGAGUCUCAGUAAAAGUCCAGUACUGAUGACGUAGCAGGAGCUAGAGGCCUUGAACCAGACCAACUGACUGGUUGCAAUGACUGUUUGCAUGUAAAGCCGUUUGCAAAAGGGUACGCUGUGUGACACACGGCAGCUUCCAAUGCCACUACAACAACCCAAUUCGUGAUGGAGAGGCAGGAAAGACAGAGGAGCGGAGCAGUGCAUGCCCAGUGGAACAGCUGUGAUGGGAAGGCUGCCGUUGUGGAGGAACCCAGUAGGGUCGGCAGGGUGGUGUGCAGCAGCCUGGAGCUUACUCGGACCAAACAAGCUGCCUAGCCCCAUGGUUGCCCUGGGUCUGAACAGCAACAGGGUGUCUAAGAUGAAGAAUAGUCCAUUUCCUGGCCUGGACUUCCUCGAAAGACCUCCAUGGUCCGAGCUUCUCCUGGAGGCUGGUCCGUGGCUGGUGCUUCGUCAAAGGGCAGUGUUGAUGCCUGCAGGCUGUACUACCUCGGAGCCGUGAUCCUUAGUGCCUGCAGAUGCUGGAGACCAAUGGAUGUACAUGGUCUUUGCUGUUGCCAGAACCAUGUGGAAGCCCAGGGUCUGUGCUUCUGCCUCCUGUGAAGGGCAAGGAAGCUCCUCUUGCAAAGUUGUAGAUGACUGCAGACACACAGCUGAGAAAGAGGAACGUAAAAGCGUCUGUGACAACCCCCACCCCACUCCACCCAAAAAGGUGACAACCUAGAGAGGAAGCCACGAAGGAGAACGAAACAAAGAAUGGUGAUGUGGAUGCUGAGGUGCGGCUCUCCGCAGCUGGCGGCUCCUGGCAGGGCCGAAAGCGGAGAAAGGAAUUUGACCAUGCUCCAGUGGAUAUAUGGACAGCCCAAAAUGCACUUGGUUUUUCUUUCUUCUUUUUCUUUCCCUUUCUUUUUUUGGGGAGGGGUGUCACAAGGGAGAGGGGUGGAGGACACUGGAAGACUGGGAGGGGAGCACAGGUGGGUGCAUGAUGUGAGAUUCCCAUAGAAUCAAUCAAAAUGUUACGCUAAAAAUACUUUUAUGCACUUAUCUACCACCAAAACCAAAACCAAACAAAAUCUAUGACAGAGUUAGAACUAGAAAAACAAUCAGGCUUAUAUCCUCUUUCAUGACUCACGUCCAUUACCUGCAUUUAGUCCUUCCUUAUCCCGUAAUUUUCAGUCUUGUUCUCUUUCUGUGUGUCGUACCUAUAUGUACAUUUGUCAACAUGUAUAUGAAGAUUGUUGGCUACACUCUGCAUAUGAAGAAUAUAUGGGCUUUUUCUUUCAGAGACUGUGACCUCAAAUAAUAUUAUCACUUUAUUUUCAUUAAUUAAUUAAUUAAAUUCUUUUUCCUGAGACACAGUUUCUCUGUGUAGCCCUAGGUGU